CUGGGAUUAACACUGAGUCAGUUCAGUUAGUUGCUUCGUCUUGGUGACAUCUAAGGUCACAACACUUGUUUAGUCCUUCCACCUUCGGGAUGGGUCCACCCAACACCAUCUUCGGGUUUGUUCCCACACCAAGACCUUCAAGUGAUUCAUCUAGUGCACCUAGAUGAGAUGCAAGAUGCAAGUGCAUGAAUAUAAAGAAUAAUAACACAACAUGCAUCACAUAAAAUUAUGCAAGACACAGGCAUCUAAAGUUAUUUAGCUAACAUCACACAACCAAUUAUAUAGAGCAAAC
rnacentral:lncRNA from 1 species